CUACGGGUCGCAGCAGUGAGGAAUAUUGCACAAUGGGGGGAACCCUGAUGCAGCAACGCCGCGUGGAGGAUGACGCAUUUCGGUGUGUAAACUCCUUUUAUAUGUCAAGAAAAUGACGGUAGCAUAUGAAUAAGCAUCGGCUAACUCCGUGCCAGCAGCCGCGGUAAUACGGAGGGUGCAAGCGUUACUCGGAAUCACUGGGCGUAAAGGACGCGUAGGCGGGUUGGAAAGUCAGGUGUGAAAUCCUACAGCUUAACUGUAGAACUGCACUUGAAACUUCUAAUCUAGAGUAUGGGAGGGGGAGAUGGAAUUAGUGGUGUAGGGGUAAAAUCCGUAGAUAUCACUAGGAAUACCUAAAGCGAAGGCGAUCUCCUGGAACAUUACUGACGCUAAGGCGUGAAAGCGUGGGGAGCAAACAGGAUUAGAUACCCGUGUAGUC
rnacentral:rRNA from 1 species